CCUACGGGUGGCAGCAGUGAGGAAUAUUGGUCAAUGGGCGCGAGCCUGAACCAGCCAAGUCGCGUGAAGGAUGAAUGCACUGAGGGUUGUAAACCUCUUUUGUAAAGGAAUAAAGUGAGGCACGUGUCCCUUUUUGUAUGUACUUUAUGAAAAAGGAUCGGCUAACUCCGUGCCAGCAGCCGCGGUAAUACGGAGGAUCCGAGCGUUAUCCGGAUUUAUUGGGUUUAAAGGGAGCGUAGAUGGUUUGUUAAGUCAGUGGUGAAAGUUUGCGGCUCAACCGUAAGAUGGCAAUUGAUACUGGCAGUCUUGAGUACAGUUGAGGUAGGCGGAAUGCGUGGUGUAGCGGUGAAAUGCAUAGAUAUCACGCAGAACUCCGAUUGCGAAGGCAGCAUACUA
rnacentral:rRNA from 1 species